GGGGGUAUGGCGGAACUGGCAGACGCAGCGGACUUAAAAUCCGCGGGCCGCACGGCCGUCCGGGUUCGACUCCCGGUACCCCCA
rfam:Hydrogenivirga sp. 128-5-R1-1 1102927038496, whole genome shotgun sequence.